rnacentral:lncRNA from 1 species
AGUCUGCUUUUGAUGAGGAGGUUCAGGAAGGCAUUAUUUGUCUCAAUCUAUCCCCUCUCCCCAACAGUGAACAAGAAAGCAGAUAUCCUUGCUGACUGUUGGCAGCCGUUGUGGGACCACAAAGGCACCAGCCUCAGGAGAUGGGAAGACUGAGUUGCCAGGGACGUUGCUGAGCCAUUAGAGCCAUCCUUACCCACAAGCCCACCCCACCUUGGGACUUCCUCUUGGGCAAGUCUGUGAAUCUCCAUGUUGUUGAAUCCGUUUUGAAUUGGCUUUUCUUUUUCUUGAAGCUCAAGGCAUUUUAAUUGGCAUAACCUAGCCUAUAAAAGGAAGAUUAAUUUCCUUGACCGCAAGAAAGUGGAAUUCGAAUUAGAGGGAAUGAGAUAUUGAGAUAUCUCCCUCCAUAGCCAGAGCUGCCUUGCAGUGAGUGUCCGGCUUUGGAAGCACCCCUACUAAGGCUGGGCCAUUGCAAGGGGAUUCCUUUUUUCUUUUCUUGUCUUUUUUUUUUUUUUUUCUUUAGACAGUUUUAUUCUGUUGCCCGGGCUGGAGUGCAGUGGGGCAAUUUCAGCUUACUACAACCCCUGCCUCCUGGGUUCAACCGAUUCUUCUGCCUCAGCCUCCAGAGUAGCUGGGACUGCAGGCAUGCGCCACCACGCCCGGGUAAUUUUUGUAUUUUUAGAAGACACAGAAUUUCGCCAUGUUGGCCAGGCUGGUCUCCAACUCCUGACCUCAAAUGAUCCACCUGCCUCGGCCUCCCAAAGUGCUGGAAUUACAGGCAUGAGCCACCGCACCUGGGCUGCAAGGGGAUUUCUAAGGAGAAGGGGAGACGUGGCCACUGGCAACCACACCACCAUCAAGGUGGGGCCUCAUGAUCCACCUACGAGCAGGAGCAGGGCUCUGAGGCAGGGCACUGAGGCUGAAUAACACCUCUGUGUUGCAGGACAAUUUAUCAAAGGAAAAUGAGGGCAUCCAUUCAGUUUUCCUUGUCCCACCUUCAAAAAAGACCAGGAUUGUUGAAAUUAUUCCUCUAAAAUCUACAUUUUAAGAAGGAAGGUCAAGCUGGUGCUAAUGUAAUGUGUGCUAUAGCUAACAUAUUAUAGCUAACAUACCUGCUUUAGGUCAAGCUGGUGGUAGAGUUACAUUCUAUUUUUUACUUAUGGUAUGCUUUAUAGGAAAAUGGGACCCUUUGUAUGAUUAAUAUUGGUGAGACAAUGUCCAUUUUGUCAGAGACAUAAGGUAAAUUCUUAUCACAGUACACUGUUAUCAAGGUUAGAGGUUGUGAUAUCUUUGCUUUCUUGAUUUAUUAAGAAUUGUAUUUAUGAUUUAAUUAUUGCCAAGUCGAUGGUCAGGAAUGCUUCCUAACUUUGCCAUGGCGAUAUGGUUCUAGGGGAGAGGGAAGCCGAUUCAUGUUAUUUGUUCUGCUAAUUUAUAAACACACUGUCUGUUCUAGUUUCCUCUCACAAACCCUUUUGGAUCUGACAUCCAUGAAUUUAUUUAAGCAUUUAAAAAUCAUGACAUGUUUCCACCAUGAGCCAUCUACUUGCUAUGAGAAGGCAUGCUUUCUUUUAUUUAUCCUAAACGUGUAUUUUCUGAGCUUCCAGCAAAUUCUGCACCAUCCCCUUAGACUAGUCUGGAGUAGGACAUGCACAGUUCUUGACCACCACUAGCUGUGGCCAUCCUUGGCUAAUGCCACCUUUGUUUUGUGUAAAUGGCUUAUUUACUCUUCUCUGUUGGAUAUCAAAGCAACUUAACAGUGUAAGUAGCUUUUGCUAAAUGAAGACAUGAGUAAGCAGAGACUGUGGAAUAUACUGGUGCUACUUCAGUGGGAUUUUACAUGGUGAAACAAAGGGAGAAGUUGGUUCAGAAGUUUAGCCCUUGCUGCCUUGCCCAGUAUGUGAUUUUGUGCAAGAAGAUGAGCAAAACAAAGACAUGUUGCAGGCCGUGUUUUCUGGACGGUUGUUGAGUCAAGAAGGAUUCAGGUGAGAUACUGGGGCUCCUUAUUUGAGCCAGCAGAAGCAGCUUUUUAGUUCCCAAAUCAAAUGGCUGGUACAUAAAUGUAAGGCUCUUAUGCUUAUUUUGUGACCUGAAAGAUGGGGAGCAGGGAAGGAAGAACUAGGCGUGGUCUCAGAUGUUUGGGAUAAUUGGCAUCAUUUUCCUCCAUUAUCCAUGCUUCAUCUAGAAUGAGUUAAUUGAGCCUGAAGCCUUCCAAAUCUCCUGUUAAUUACCCUGAAGCAGGCAUGUUUGUCCCUUUCUUGGUCUAAAGCUGCAGGCAGAUAUCCGAGGUCUUUUAUCCUUGCCUAGCACCAAAGAGUGACCACAAAAUCUGCCUCAGGUUUCCGAAGGAGCCAGGUUCCACACUUGGCCCACCAGCCCCACUGCUCUGUGUGCGCCCAGCUCUCCACUUAACCACCUGAUCCUGUUGUGUGACUUAGAAGAACGUGACUUUUACAACUUGAAAGCUUAUUCCUGGACAGGAGUACUUGGUAGUGGAGAAUCAGAGGAACUAAGGACUUCAGCAUCACACCCAGUUUAAGCCUUUGCGCUUCAGCCAAGAAGACAGCAACGCUUGUCACGCUUGUCUCUCUGGCUUUUGGAUAAUAUACAUAACUGGUCCUUAUGGAGGGCUGACUUUGGCCAUGUGUGUACUCUUUUUAAUGAUCCCAACUGCCUGACAAUGUCUAUACACUGCAUGAAGGACCUCAUGCUCUAGGGAGGCAGGAUCCUUGCCUGGAGUUACACUUGGGGUGGCAGAAGUGGGACUCAUACUCAACCCUGACAUACCAUAGCACUGCUUGUUGAUUUGCAGACAUAUAAUUGAAUGUGCUGUUAAAGAAUGGUGAAAGUAGGAAUGUGUUUGCUCUAAAUUUCCCUGUGAACUUCCUUGUCUGCACCAGCUGGCUUGGUUUGAUCCUUUCCCCAGACUCUGAUGCUUCUGUAAAGACAGAGCACAUGCACAUGCUCAUGUCCUCUGGCCCAGGUAAGGCUUAUCCACAGAGAAGGGAGCAUUGUGCCCCCAGUGCCCGGGAGGUGGUAUAUUCCACAAAGAGGUGAGUGGAGUGGGGGCCUUGUUGUCAUUGAAUCUCAUGUAGUGGAGGGCCUUGGGGAGGUGACACAGGAAAAUGUGCUACUCUGUAUUGUCUUGGGAAGGGUUGAAUUUGAUUCUGUUGUUUCUGAGGAUGUGAGAAUAAAUCUUGAUGGCUUUCCUCUUUCUGCCUCUAAGCAUCCUUGUGUGUAUUGCUGGUUUUACCUGAUCAUUUUCACCAUCUUCCCCAUGGUUUUAGUGGUCAUUUUUCAUUUCUUCUCUUGUAAAUAAUCAGUUCAUGUUUUCUAGCACCAAUUCUAAGCCUAGAUUAGUAAUAAGAAAAGUUCCCUCUUUUUAAAAGAAGAUGUCUACUUUCUCUGCCCUCCUUAUUGCCCAGAAAACAGGCAUUGUGGAGACGUGGCCUUGAUUGUCCUUCUUCUUGUCUCUUCCACCAAUGUGGCUGACCUUUUUCUCCUCACUCUCCAUUAAUUAGCAGCAGUUUCCCUGUUCCUUGGCUCACAGUGGUACACCUGGGAGCCUUAGCACUCACUGAAAACCCCUUACUGCCUAACAAGAAUUGACCCAUGGUUGAAAACCCAUCUCAAGUGCUGCUGCCUCUAUGAAGCCCACCCUGAAUUACGUUCAACUGGACAUACUUCCUUAUUUAAACCCUUUGGCACUGAUAUUCUAUCUUUAAUCAUUAUUAUUAUUUUAGAACAUGUCACCUUCCCAUGUUUUCCAAGUCAUAAAAGUAGUACAUGUCCAUCACAGACAAAUGGGGAGUGCAGAAAAGCACAAAGAAUAAAACAGAGACAGCAGGGUUCAGGCUUCGAGUUGUGGUGCAAUUGGCCCACAUCCACCCCACCCUCUCUUCACGCAGCAGAUGACUGGGACAUAAAGAAGCUGAUGGGGCCACUGCCACCGAAUUUCCACCUGCAGCCCUUCUCGGGGGCCACCACCAUGCUCCUCAACAGCUGUCACUGACAGGACAGAGCUUGAGGAUCUUGAGGAGCUACUGACCCUGCAGAACCGCUCUGAGACCAGGGGGAGCUUUUCCAGGUGAAACGAUUCAUGGCUAGGCUGAUUUAACUAAUGGGUUUUUCAUCAGAGUAAUACAUAUUCAGAUAUGUCCCAUGCUCAGUGAUGGCAUCAAGCAAUGUCAGGAUUAGAUGGGAAAUUAGAGGCAAUUUGCUCCAAGUGUCUACUUGUGUACCCUCCACAGACGUAUCCAUGCAAUGGUCUUCUGUCUUCUAGGAAGCUCCCAAGUUCAUUUUUUAUUCAAAGCGAACCAGGAGAGUUCUGUCUACACUCAUUUCUAUGCAUAGAACUUGACGCUUUAAAAAGACAAUGCUGAAUUCUAGUUUCCCUGCCCCUACACCAGCCCAAUCCUCUGUUCUUAUUCCCAUCUGACGGUGUCACCCAGGGCACUAACCCAGUAGUACCAGGCACCGAAUAGGCAUCCAGUAGGUGUUGAAUGUCGUAUGUAGCGGACAAGGGCCACUUUGGAAAGUCAUGUUUCAUCGCUUCACUCCUCCCUGUGAGUCUGGGUGCUCUGAAGCCCCUCUCUCGAUCCCCCCAUGAGACACACAGAAUUUAGACCCUGUCAUCAAUGUUAAAGGUCAGCUAACAUGGUUUCCAAACCAAGCAUGUGUCACCAUGUAUCACUUGGGCUUGAACCCAGGUUGGCUGAAUUAUCCAUGCAUCUAGGCAACCACCUAUACAUCCAUUCAUGCAGCUCAUGGAAAUGUUUGGAGUGCAAGCACAGUUCCAGGUGUUGUGGCAGAUACAAAGAAUAUGAUAGAGGGCCUGGUCCUGGUGGAUCCAGGAUGUUGUGGGGGAGACUGUUCUAAUGAGCCAUCUCUGUGUUGAGUUAUGUGAUAAGAGCUGUGAUAGAGAUUCUGCAAAGAAUCCGGGCCUGGGCAUUCAGGCCUGGGAUCUGCACAAGUGGGUCCUCGUGCUGCCCUUAUUUAAGGCUCAAAAGGUACCACUCUCCCAGACAUCAAUACCACUUCACUGUCAAAUUUCCCUUCCCACAAUCCUGUCCUGUGGUGGUGUGCUGGAGAGGGAGCAUUACCUCCAGUGUCCCUUAACCAUACCUAAGAAUAUAACUACACAGGCAGAUCACGAGGUCAGGAGAUCGAGACCAUCCUGGCUAACAUGGUGAAACCCCAUCUGUACUAAAAAUACAAAAAAUUAGCCGGGCGUGGUGGCGGGUGCCUGUAGUUCCAGCUACUCAGGAGGCUGAGGCAGGAGAAUCACUUGAACCCAGGAGGCGGAGGUUGCAGUGAGCUGAGAUCGCACCACUGCACUCCAGCUUGGUGACAAAGCAAGACUCCGUCUAAAAAAAAAAGAUAUAUAUAUAUAUACAUAUAUACGUAUAUAUGUAUAUAUAUGUGUGUAUAUAUAUGUAUAUAUACACACAUAUAUAUACAUAUAUACGUAUAUACAUAAAUAUAUAUAAAGAUAUUUAUAUAUAUAAAGAUAUAUAUAUACACACACACACACACCCAACUAAAGGUGUUUAUUUCUAAAUAGAUGAAGAAAUAUGUAA